GGCGGCGCGCCUAACACAUGCAAGUCGAACGAGAGAUGAAGAGCUUGCUCUUCAAAUCGAGUGGCGAACGGGUGAGUAACGCGUGAGGAACCUGCCUCAAAGAGGGGGACAACAGUUGGAAACGACUGCUAAUACCGCAUAAGCCCACGGCUCGGCAUCGAGCAGGGGGAAAAGGAGCAAUCCGCUUUGAGAUGGCCUCGCGUCCGAUUAGCUAGUUGGUGAGGUAAUGGCCCACCAAGGCGACGAUCGGUAGCCGGACUGAGAGGUUGAACGGCCACAUUGGGACUGAGACACGGCCCAGACUCCUACGGGAGGCAGCAGUGGGGAAUAUUGCACAAUGGGGGAAACCCUGAUGCAGCGACGCCGCGUGGAGGAAGAAGGUCUUCGGAUUGUAAACUCCUGUUGUUGAGGAAGAUAAUGACGGUACUCAACAAGGAAGUGACGGCUAACUACGUGCCAGCAGCCGCGGUAAAACGUAGGUCACAAGCGUUGUCCGGAAUUACUGGGUGUAAAGGGAGCGCAGGCAGGAGAACAAGUUGGAAGUGAAAUCCAUGGGCUCAACCCAUGAACUGCUUUCAAAACUGUUUUUCUUGAGUAGUGCAGAGGUAGGCGGAAUUCCCGGUGUAGCGGUGGAAUGCGUAGAUAUCGGGAGGAACACCAGUGGCGAAGGCGGCCUACUGGGCACCAACUGACGCUGAGGCUCGAAAGUGUGGGUAGCAAACAGGAUUAGAUACCCUGGUAGUCCACACCGUAAACGAUGA
rnacentral:rRNA from 1 species